GGAGGUGGAGGAGGAGGAGGUGGACUUUAGCGUGUUCUCUACAGACUCACCGGAACCGAAGGAUGCCGAUCUGGAACCGGAGAACAGUCCAGGACUGACGAGGAACAGCCAAGACAGAAAACAUGGGAUACCCUUCACUGGCCCGUUCAUUAGUGUUCUGCUGUCUCGGUUGGAGAACCUGUUGGAGAACCCUAUUCCAGUCAAUCUGCUAGUUACAGGCAUCCUGUCUCAGCUCGCCAAAUACCCCCAGCCUCUCCUCCGGGCGUUCCUCCUGAACACGCACACUGACCCACAGCCCAACGUACGCACACUAUACCAGGUGCUGGUCUCAGUGCGUGUCCAGAUAGAGCAGUACGCAGUGGACCAGACGGAGUUUCCUGCUACAGUCAGAGAAGCAUGGAGAUACCUACUGGCUAGAGACCAAGCACUGAAACU